rnacentral:lncRNA from 1 species
CUGAUUCCCAACAGACUAACAUAGAUCUAAACAAAUUUAAUUCUACUGGACUUCAUAAUUGCACUGAACCCUAUCUCAUACAUAAGAAAAGGAUCUCAUUUCAUUCAAGCAAAACAAACAGAAGGGACAUCCCACUCAUACGAACAGAGUAUUAACUCAUCUAAAACCAAAUAAUCGAAGGCAAAUACUUAUUCAGUGUUUAUAACAGAAUUUAAAACUACAAGAGAAAAGAGAAAACAAGCAUAUGAAGAAAACUUAAUUAAUUACAGGAGCAAAUAUUAGCAGAAAUAACAUCUACUCCCUCCGUUUUAUAUUAUAUGAGGUACUUUUCUUUUUAGUCUGUUCCAAAAUAAAUGACACAUUUCUAAAUUUGGAAAUAAUUUAACUUUAAACUCUUCAUUUAUCCUUUUUGCCCUUAAUGAGAAGCUUUUAUAGCCACACAAAUGGCAUGAUCCCACAAACCUUUUACCUUAAGACCACAAGUUUUAAAAGUCUUCUUCUUUUUUCUUAAAUUCCGUACCGAAUCAAACUACCUCAAACAAUAUGGAACGGAGGGACUAUGUAACAACUGUGUCGCUGAUUUUCAAACUCAAUCAAACAGCUUUGAAGCCUUUCAUUUCAACAAGUCAAAUGAGGUGCAGUGAGUAUCUGGUUACAACAAAGAAAAAGAAGAAGAAGAUAUGCUUAAAGAUCCGCAAGAUGAAGAGUUCAGUCAACAACAACAAUACUUCAAAAGCAAAGGAACAGUGCACAAUAGCCUUUACACCAUCUUUGAAUUCAGAAUAAGCUAGAAAUCCUUUGAAGGUUUCAGGAUUGAAAGACUGGUCACAGAAUUGGAUCAAUUUCUCCAAAAAAUGCAAGAAUUUCGGAGUUCUUUUAGCUCAGCCAUUUUGAAAUGCUUUUUUAGGGUUGUCAUUCUUCUAAAUCUCCCAUGAGAAUGAUGUUAUAAUGCCUUUAUAGGCGAGCCUUAGGGAAGCAGAAAUGGGUCAGUUUAUUGCCCUUUGAUCCUUUUGGAAUUUUUAUUUUUGCUAUUUAAUCCCUAAGUUCAAAUUCAUCUUUUCAAAAUAUCCCUAAACCCACCUUCUAGGAAGCUUCCCCAUUCAGUUACACAAGAUUCCCCAACCUUAAAUUCCUAAAUUAACCCUUAGACCCUCUAUUUUUACCCCUGAAACCAAACGGGUCAAAUUGACCCAAGGGUUUAGCCCAAACCUGGGCUUGCAAGAACCGGGUUGAAUCCCUUUUUCUCUGGGCCCAAGUUCAAAUCAGAAAUCCAACAAAUGAUUCAAGAAAAAGGGGCAACUCGGAGUUAUUUAAACUCCUCGAACUAAAGGUUCUAAACGGCCCAAAAUAAAAGGGAAAUUCGAGCAAACAUUAAAACUAACGAAUCAAACUAAACUAAUAAUGAUGAUGAUUAACAUAAAACCUAAAAAAAAUGCAGAGAAGAUUUGAGAAACAGAAGACAAGGAAGAAAAAGAAAGAAAUAGAAGAAGAUAGGAAUAAAAUAAAAUAAUGAAAAAGAGAAGAUACUGAAAAUACCUAACAAAAUAGGUGAAUAAACGUUCUUGGAUUAGCUUCAAAGAAACUUUCGAUUUUGACCGAAAUGGGCCUUAAUGGUGUGUUCUCAAACGAAAACACACGAAUAAGGUCAAUUUCAUUCUUAAACCUUUACCAAACCUAUCGAUUUGGGCUUUUGGGAUUUUAGGGUUCGACACUUUAGUUCAAGAUUUGAAGAAUCCUAGGGUGAUUAGAGGGAAAAUGUUCCAGGAUUUAGGACGGAAAAGUGGUGGUGAUUAUAUGGUGUGGAUUUGGGACGGGUUAGAGGCGGCGGCGCCACCAUAGAAGGUGGAGGAUUUUGGGACGGCGCUAGGCUUCCAUGAAGGGUCUCUGAUGGUGGUGGUGAAGUGAGAGAGAUGAGUUAGAGGAUGGUAGG